rnacentral:rRNA from 1 species
UACGGAGGGUGCAAGCGUUGUCCGGAAUCACUGGGCGUAAAGGGCGCGUAGGCGGCUCAUGAAGGCUGUGGUGAAAGUCCGGGGCUCAACCUCGGAUCGGCCGUGGCGACUCGUGGGCUGGAGCACUGUAGAGGCGGGUGGAAUUCCGGGUGUAGCGGUGGAAUGCGUAGAGAUCCGGAAGAACACCAGUGGCGAAGGCGGCCCGCUGGGCAGUGGCUGACGCUGAGGCGCGACAGCGUGGGGAUCAAACAGG